rnacentral:rRNA from 1 species
AGAGUUUGAUCAUGGCUCAGGACGAACGCUGGCGGCGUGCCUAAUACAUGCAAGUAGAACGCUGAAGAGAGGAGCUUGCUCUUCUUGGAUGAGUUGCGAACGGGUGAGUAACGCGUAGGUAACCUGCCUUGUAGCGGGGGAUAACUAUUGGAAACGAUAGCUAAUACCGCAUAACAAUGGAUGACACAUGUCAUUUAUUUGAAAGGGGCAAUUGCUCCACUACAAGAUGGACCUGCGUUGUAUUAGCUAGUAGGUGAGGUAAUGGCUCACCUAGGCGACGAUACAUAGCCGACCUGAGAGGGUGAUCGGCCACACUGGGACUGAGACACGGCCCAGACUCCUACGGGAGGCAGCAGUAGGGAAUCUUCGGCAAUGGGGGCAACCCUGACCGAGCAACGCCGCGUGAGUGAAGAAGGUUUUCGGAUCGUAAAGCUCUGUUGUAAGUCAAGAACGGGUGUGAGAGUGGAAAGUUCACACUGUGACGGUAGCUUACCAGAAAGGGACGGCUAACUACGUGCCAGCAGCCGCGGUAAUACGUAGGUCCCGAGCGUUGUCCGGAUUUAUUGGGCGUAAAGCGAGCGCAGGCGGUUUGAUAAGUCUGAAGUUAAAGGCUGUGGCUCAACCAUAGUUCGCUUUGGAAACUGUCAAACUUGAGUGCAGAAGGGGAGAGUGGAAUUCCAUGUGUAGCGGUGAAAUGCGUAGAUAUAUGGAGGAACACCGGUGGCGAAAGCGGCUCUCUGGUCUGUAACUGACGCUGAGGCUCGAAAGCGUGGGGAGCGAACAGGAUUAGAUACCCUGGUAGUCCACGCCGUAAACGAUGAGUGCUAGGUGUUGGAUCCUUUCCGGGAUUCAGUGCCGAAGCU